AUACGUAGGGGGCGAGCGUUGUCCGGAAUUACUGGGCGUAAAGAGCACGUAGGCGGCUAUAUAAGUCAGGUGUGAAAAACCUGGGCUUAACCGAGGGUAUGCAUCUGAAACUAUAUAGCUUGAGUCAAGGAGAGGAGAGCGGAAUUCCUGGUGUAGCGGUGAAAUGCGUAGAGAUCAGGAAGAAUACCAGUGGCGAAAGCGGCUCUCUGGACUUGAACUGACGCUGAGGUGCGAAAGCGUGGGGAGCGAACAGGAUUAGAUGCCGUGGUAGUCCACGCCGUAAACGAUGGAUACUAGGUGUGGGUGAGGAAUCAUCCGUGCCGGAGUUAACGCAAUAAGUAUCCCGCCUGGGGAGUACGGCCGCAAGGUUGAA
rnacentral:rRNA from 1 species